rnacentral:lncRNA from 1 species
UUAUCUCCAUUUCAACGGGACGAUUCUGGACCGCAGUGAUCACAGCCCCCCUUUCCCUCACUGAGACUUACCAGAAGGGACUCUGCACAGGGAAAGGCUCAUUGGUGGGGCUGCCUGGGAGAACUCCCAAGACACACAGGUGGAGCCUUUCCCGAAGGCCAAGUAUGGAGCAAUUAUCUCGCGUCUUCAUCCAUCAUCGGAAAUCCUAACUGAAGCUUUUGAGCCGAAUUCCAAAGCUUUAUGGACGCCCUUCCGUCCGGAGCUCCCUGGAGCUGCGCCUCGUGGGCUGUGAUUUACACAGGGGCUGAGGCUUGGGCCUGAGUUGGUUCCAGAUCAUAGGGACUGUGACAAGCCUGAAGACCCUUCUCCCUAUCCCAGGAGGAGCCCAGGAACGCAAGCGAGAGCCUCUGCAAGUCACCCCAGCUGCCGCGUUUCCACCCAGGAGGAAGACGCACGUGGGGCGGCACGAGAGAUAGACGGAGGAUUGAAAGAAGUAGCCAGUGAGCCAGAUAAGAUGAGCCAGGACACACGAUGCUGAUGGGUCAAGGAAGAAGAGCUUUAAUCAGCUGGUCAGUUUCUAAGGCUUUCAUCCAAGGAACCCUCAUUGAUGUGAAACAACAAAGUGAGACUUCCAUCCUCGAAUGUGCAGCCAGGAAGUGGCAGAAAGGAGCUUUGCAUAAACUUCUUCUCAUUUCAAAUCCUAUGCUCUUUCUCCCACGCCUCAGCCAUUUGCCUUUAAAAUCAAUUGCAUCCUGAAGUGAAGAGCUUUGCAAGAACAGUGCUAUCAGAAACAACCAUACUCCACCAGAGCAAUCACAGCACCUCCCAGAACCCCUGGGACUUUUGCUUGGACUCGGGCAAGUGAGUAGACAGCUCGGAUGGGGCGAGCACCUGCUGGUUCAUCCACCAAAUAUGAACAUGGCCCAAGAGUGAGACCCCAAGACCCGAAAUUGCACCAAUGACUAUAGCUAUACAAGAAAAUGCCACUGGACAAAUUUUGCAGAGGUUUCUUUAUUGUUGCUGUUCUCAGCAAACCUAAGAAGUCAUUUCAGUUUGUCUCAG